rnacentral:rRNA from 1 species
CGCUGGCGGCAUGCCUUACACAUGCAAGUCGAACGGCAGCACGGGAGCAAUCCUGGUGGCGAGUGGCGAACGGGUGAGUAAUAUAUCGGAACGUGCCCAGUCGUGGGGGAUAACGUAGCGAAAGCUACGCUAAUACCGCAUACGAUCUAUGGAUGAAAGCGGGGGAUCGCAAGACCUCGCGCGAUUGGAGCGGCCGAUAUCAGAUUAGGUAGUUGGUGAGGUAAAGGCUCACCAAGCCGACGAUCUGUAGCUGGUCUGAGAGGACGACCAGCCACACUGGGACUGAGACACGGCCCAGACUCCUACGGGAGGCAGCAGUGGGGAAUUUUGGACAAUGGGCGCAAGCCUGAUCCAGCAAUGCCGCGUGCAGGAUGAAGGCCUUCGGGUUGUAAACUGCUUUUGUACGGAACGAAACGGUGAGCUCUAAUACAGUUUGCUAAUGACAGUACCUGGAGAAUAAGCUCCGGCUAACUCCGUG